rnacentral:rRNA from 1 species
UGACAGUACUCCUACGGGGAGGCAGCAGUGGGGGAAUAGUUGCACAAUGGGCGCAAGCCUGAUGCAGCCAUGCCGCGUGUGUGAAGAAGGCCUUCGGGUUGUAAAGCACUUUCAGUCGUGAGGAAGGUAGUGUAGUUAAUAGCUGCAGUAUUUGACGUUAGCGACAGAAGAAGCACCGGCUAACUCCGUGCCAGCAGCCGCGGUAAUACGGAGGGUGCGAGCGUUAAUCGGAAUUACUGGGCGUAAAGCGCAUGCAGGUGGUUUGUUAAGUCAGAUGUGAAAGCCCGGGGCUCAACCUCGGAAUAGCAUUUGAAACUGGCAGACUAGAGUACUGUAGAGGGGGGUAGGAAUUUCAGGUGUAGCGGUGAAAUGCGUAGAGAUCUGAAGGAAUACCGGUGGCGAAGGCGGCCCCCUGGACAGAUACUGACACUCAGAUGCGAAAGCGUGGGGAGCAAACAGGAUUAGAUACCCUGGUAG